rnacentral:rRNA from 1 species
AUGAACGCUGGCGGCGUGCCUAAUACAUGCAAGUCGAGCGAACAGACGAGGAGCUUGCUCCUCUGACGUUAGCGGCGGACGGGUGAGUAACACGUGGAUAACCUACCUAUAAGACUGGGAUAACUUCGGGAAACCGGAGCUAAUACCGGAUAAUAUAUUGAACCGCAUGGUUCAAUAGUGAAAGACGGUUUUGCUGUCACUUAUAGAUGGAUCCGCGCCGCAUUAGCUAGUUGGUAAGGUAACGGCUUACCAAGGCAACGAUGCGUAGCCGACCUGAGAGGGUGAUCGGCCACACUGGAACUGAGACACGGUCCAGACUCCUACGGGAGGCAGCAGUAGGGAAUCUUCCGCAAUGGGCGAAAGCCUGACGGAGCAACGCCGCGUGAGUGAUGAAGGUCUUCGGAUCGUAAAACUCUGUUAUUAGGGAAGAACAAAUGUGUAAGUAACUAUGCACGUCUUGACGGUACCUAAUCAGAAAGCCGCGGCUAACUACGUG